AGGGGCUUAGGAUAGCACCCAGACCAAGGGCCUUCAAAGCCCUAAGCGGGAGUGAAAAUCUCCCAGCCUCUGCUA
rnacentral:tRNA from 1 species